rnacentral:rRNA from 1 species
UACGUAGGUGGCAAGCGUUAUCCGGAAUUAUUGGGCGUGAAGAGGGAGCAGGCGGCAAGAUAAGUUUGAAGUGAAAGCGUGGGGCUCAACCCCAUACAGCUUCGAAAACUGUCUAGCUAGAGUACGAGAGAAGUGAACGGAACUCCAUGUGUAGCGGUGAAAUGCGUAGAUAUAUGGAAGAACACCAGUGGCGAAGGCGGUUCACUAGCUCGAAACUGACGCUCAGUCCCGAAAGCGUGGGUAGC